rnacentral:rRNA from 1 species
GGUUAAGCUAAUAAGAGCACACGGAGGAUGCCUAGGCGCCAGGAGCCGACGAAGGACGUGGCGAACAACGAAACUGCCUCGGGGAGCUGUAAGCAAGCUUUGAUCCGGGGGUGUCCGAAUGGGGAAACCCAGCUGUGGUAAUUCGCAGUUACUCACACCUGAAUACAUAGGGUGUGCAGAGGCAGACCAGGGGAACUGAAACAUCUAAGUACCCUGAGGAAGAGAAAACAAUAGUGAUUCCGUCAGUAGCGGCGAGCGAACGCGGAACAGCCUAAACCAAGGGGCUUGCCCCUUGGGGUUGUGGGACGUCUCACAUGGAGUUACAAAGGAAUAUGGUAGGUGAAGAGGUCUGGAAAGGCCCGCGAUAGAGGUAAAAGCCCUGUAACCUAAACUGUGUUCUCUCCGAGACGGAUCCCGAGUAGUGCGGGGCACGUGAAACCCCGUAUGAAUCCAGCAGGACCAUCUGCUAAGGCUAAAUACUACCUGGCGACCGAUAGUGAAACAGUACCGUGAGGGAAAGGUGAAAAGCACCCCGGAAGGGGAGUGAAAUAGAACCUGAAACCGUGUGCUUACAAAAAGUCAGAGCCCGUUUUAGGGGUGAUGGCGUGCCUUUUGUAGAAUGAACCGGCGAGUUACGUUUAACAUGCAAGGUUAAGGUGAGAAGCCGGAGCCGCAGCGAAAGCGAGUCUGAAUAGGGCGACUAAGUAUGUGGACGUAGACCCGAAACCGUGUGAUCUACCCCUGUCCAGGGUGAAGGUGCGGUAACACGCACUGGAGGCCCGAACCCACGUAUGUUGAAAAAUACGGGGAUGAGGUGGGGGUAGCGGAGAAAUUCCAAUCGAACUCGGAGAUAGCUGGUUCUCCCCGAAAUAGCUUUAGGGCUAGCCUCGGUGAAUGGAGUGGUGGAGGUAGAGCACUGAUUGGGUGCGGGGCCCGCAAGGGUUACCAAGCUCAGUCAAACUCCGAAUGCCAUUUACUUCUUGCCGGGAGUCAGACAGUGAGUGCUAAGAUCCAUUGUCAAAAGGGAAACAGCCCAGACCAUCAGCUAAGGUCCCCAAGUGUGUGUUAAGUGGGAAAGGAUGUGGAGUUGCACAGACAACCAGGAUGUUGGCUUAGAAGCAGCCACCAUUGAAAGAGUGCGUAAUAGCUCACUGGUCGAGUGACUCUGCGCCGAAAAUGUAACGGGGCUAAACACACCACCGAAGCUAUGGCUAGAUGCUUUGCAUCUGGGGUAGGGGAGCGUUGUAUGUGGGUUGAAGGUGUACCGUAAGGAGCGCUGGACAGCAUACAAGUGAGAAUGCCGGUAUGAGUAACGAAAAGAUCAGUGAGAAUCUGAUCCGCCGAAAGCCCAAGGUUUCCUGAGGAAGGCUCGUCCGCUCAGGGUAAGUCGGGACCUAAGGCGAGGCCGAAAGGCGUAGUCGAAGGACAACAGUUUGAAAUUACUGUACCACCGUAAUCCGCUAUGAGCGAUGGGGUGACGCAGGAGGGUAGUGACGCGGACUGAUGGAUGUCCGUCUAAGCAGUGAGGCUGGUGUGUAGGCAAAUCCGCACAUCGUAAGGCUGGGCUGUGAUGGGGAGCGAAAAUUAUAGUAGCGAAGGUCAUGAUCUCACACUGCCAAGAAAAGCCUCUAGUCAGGAGAAGGUGCCCGUACCGCAAACCGACACAGGUAGGCGAGAAGAGAAUUCUAAGGCGCGCGGAAGAACUCUCGUUAAGGAACUCGGCAAAAUGACCCCGUAACUUCGGGAGAAGGGGUGCCUCGGUAGGGUGAAUAGCCCGAGGGGGCCGCAGUGAAAAGGCCCAAGCGACUGUUUAGCAAAAACACAGGUCUGUGCGAAGCCGCAAGGCGAAGUAUACGGGCUGACGCCUGCCCGGUGCUGGAAGGUUAAGGGGAGUGGUUAGGGGCAACCCGAAGCUAUGAACCGAAGCCCCAGUAAACGGCGGCCGUAACUAUAACGGUCCUAAGGUAGCGAAAUUCCUUGUCAGGUAAAUUCUGACCCGCACGAAUGGCGUAACGACUUGGGCGCUGUCUCAACGAGAGAUCCGGUGAAAUUUUAAUACCUGUGAAGAUGCAGGUUACCCGCGACAAGACGGAAAGACCCCAUGGAGCUUUACUGCAGCUUGAUAUUGAAUUUGGGUACGAUCUGUACAGGAUAGGUGGGAGCCGUAGAGGCAGGAGCGCAAGCUUCUGCGGAGGCGCCGUUGGGAUACCACCCUGAUCGUAUCUAGGUUCUAACCUGGUACCCUAAGCGGGUACGGGGACCGUGUCAGGCGGGCAGUUUGACUGGGGCGGUCGCCUCCUAAAGAGUAACGGAGGCGUUCAAAGGUUCCCUCAGAAUGGUUGGAAAUCAUUCGAAGAGUGCAAAGGCAUAAGGGAGCUUGACUGCGAGACCUACAAGUCGAGCAGGGACGAAAGUCGGACUUAGUGAUCCGGUGGUACCGCAUGGAAGGGCCAUCGCUCAACGGAUAAAAGCUACCCUGGGGAUAACAGGCUUAUCUCCCCCAAGAGUCCACAUCGACGGGGAGGUUUGGCACCUCGAUGUCGGCUCAUCGCAUCCUGGGGCUGAAGUAGGUCCCAAGGGUUGGGCUGUUCGCCCAUUAAAGCGGUACGCGAGCUGGGUUCAGAACGUCGUGAGACAGUUCGGUCCCUAUCUGUCGUGGGCGCAGGAAAUUUGAGAGGAGCUGUCCUUAGUACGAGAGGACCGGGAUGGACGUACCGCUGGUGCACCAGUUGUUUCGCCAGAAGCAUGGCUGGGUAGCUACGUACGGACGGGAUAAGCGCUGAAAGCAUCUAAGCGUGAAGCCCCCCUCAAGAUGAGAUUUCCCAAUACGUAAGACCCCUUGAAGACGACGAGGUAGAUAGGUUGGAGGUGGAAGUGCAGUAAUGCAUGGAGCUGACCAAUACUAAUCGGUCGAGGGCUUAUCCAA